ensembl:lncRNA
CGUGGUUCACCCAUGGCCCAGGCAUGAUUUACGAGUGGCUAACUUGUGGUUCAUGUGCGCUUCACAACUUGAACAUGUGUGCUUCCCAUGGGCUUCAGAUGUGGUUCAAGGGUGCCUCACACGUGGAUCCGGCACGGUUCAGUUGUGGCUCACACACGGUUCAGAUGUAAUUCAGGCAUGGCUCACACAUGACUUGUGAGCGUCACAAAUGCUACAGGAGACUUUCACACAUGAUUUAGGCAUGGCUCACACAUGGUUGAGGUGCAGCUCAGCCAAGGGUCACAUGUGAUGCAGGCACGAAACAGAACUGGGUCCCAUGUGGCUGAUGCACGAUUCCGGCGUUUGUCACGCAUGGCUCCCACACGGCUGAGGUGUGGCUCAUGCAUGGCUGCGGUGCUGUCAGGCGUGGCUCACACUUGUCUGUGGCAUUGUUGGAACGUGGUUCAGGCAUGGCCGGAAGGUGGCUCCAGCGUGGCUGACACGUGCUUCAAAUGAGGCUGUCAUGUGGUGAAAUUGGGACUGGCACGUUCUUCAGUCGUGGCUGGCAUGUGACUUUGACAUGGCUGUGAUGAGGGUCAGUCUUCGCUCUCACAUUUUUCAGGCACGGCUGACACAUCACUCAGGCAUUCACCGCACAUUAUCUGAGCCUGGCAGACAUGUGUUUCAUGCAUCUGUUACAUGUCGUUCCUGUGUGGCACACAUGUGACUCACUCGCUGUUCACAACUGGCUCCCACCUACUCGGGCAUGGCUGCCACUUGGCUCAUGCAUGGCCCAGCCAUGUUUCACAAGUGGCUCCCUUGUCGUUCACGUGUGGUUCAAACCUGGAAAGUGUGUGCUUCACACGUGUUCCACAAGUGGUUCAAGUGUGCCUCAUGUGGUUCAGUCAUGGUCCAGUUGUGGCUCCCAAAUGGUUCAGGUGUAACUCAGGUGUGGCUCACACAUGGCUCAUGUGUGUGUCCCCUAUGGUGGAGGAGGGUUUGAGCCGUGAUUCAGGCGUGGCUCACACGUGGUGCAGGCAUGGCUCAGCCAUGGCUCACAUGGAGUUCAGGUGAGCCUCAGACCAGUGCCAGGUGUGGCUGACACAUGAUUCAGGGGUUUGUCCCACAUAGCUCACACACGUCUCAGGGGAGGCUCACGCAUGACUGGGGCGUGGCUCUGGCAUGGUUGGCACUUGGCUCAGGCAUGUCUGACAUGAGACUCAGACGUUGCUGACAUGUGUUUCAGGAAUGGGAUUCAAGUGUGUUGGACACGGGUUCCAGUGGUAUGUGAUGCUUCAUUGAGGCCGCAGUGACACGUGCUUGCUGUGUGGCUGCCACUUGGUGUGUCGCAGUGGACACAUGGCUCCGGCGUACCUGACAUGAGAUUCAGAUGUGGGUGACGUGAUUCAGGGGUGGCUUACACUUUUCUGCUGCGGGGCUGAUGCAUGACGCAGGCAUGGCUCACACGAGACUCAGGAAUUCAUCAUACUUUAUCCAUGCGUGGCAGGCAUGUGGUAACACGUGGGACAUGUCGUACAGGUGUGGCUCCCACGUUGCUGACACGUGGGCCCGACAUACUCAGUCAAGGGUGGCACGUGGCUCAUGCAUGCCUCAGCUGUGUUUCACGUGUGGCUCACCUGAUGUUCAUGUGUGGUUCAAGCAUUGAACAUGGGUGCUUCACAUGUGUUCCAGAUGUGGUUCAAUGGUGUCUCACAUGUGCUUCACGCACGGUUCAGUUGUGGCUCACACAUGGUUCUGAUGUAAUUCAGGCAUGGCUUACACAUGACUUGUGAGGGUCACAAAUGCUACAGGAGACUUUCACACUGAUUUAGGCAUGGAUCACACAUGGUUCAGGUGCAGCUCAUCCAAGGCUCACACGUGAUGCAGGAACGCCAAAGAACUGAGUCAAAUGUGGCUAACGCAUGCUUCUGGCGUUUGUCACGCAGGGCUCACACACUGCUGAGGUGUGUCUCAUGCAUGGCUGUGGUGUUGCUCAGGCGUGGCUCACAUGUGUUUGUGGCAUGGGUGGCACAUGGUUCAUGCAUGGCAGGGAAGUUGUGCCAGUGUGGCUGACACGUGCUUCAAGUGAGGCUGUCAUGUGGUUCAAGUGUGACUGGCACUUCGUUCAGGCCCAGCUGGCACGUGACUUGGCAUGGCUGAGCCUUGAGACAGGUGUGGUUCACACGUUGUUAGGGUGUGGCUGACACAUGACUCAGGUGAAGUAGAAACGAGACACAGGGGCGGCUAACACGUCACGCA